rnacentral:snRNA from 1 species
AUCUCUUCAGUCAUAUCUGAUAAAAAAGGAACGUUACAAAGGAGAUCAGAAUGGCCACUUCACAAGGAUGACAAGCACAAAAUGAGGAAUGGUCCCAGCCAAU